CCGGAAUCACGCUGCACAAAAGUGCCGGGCGGGGAGGCCGGAGGGGCAGUGAGGAGGGUGGUCGCGCCCUUAUGAGUGGCGAGCGGACGAGCUGCCGACGAAGGACUUGUUCCCUGGUGCGGGGCGCGCGGGGCUGGCCGCUCCUCCUCCUCUUCCCGCCACUCGGGCUGCUGACAGAGAAUUCGAGUCCUCGGACACGCAGCAAUGAGCAUGGUGGUAAAAAUGUCAGCCUGACGUGCUCAGGUGGAAAACGGCGUGGAAGGUACGAUGGCGUGUGGUUAACUUGACGCUGCGUGGCAGGAGAACGAGCGGCUCGGCCCGUGGAGCGGGGUGGCAGGGCAAGGAAAGCGGUGUCGCCCACGUUCAUUGUUUCCAAUCGAGCAGUACCACGUGCAUCUCUUAAUGGUGCAACAUUUCGAUCCUUACUGUCUGGCCUUCCAAAUACAAUUGGAGUAGUCAACUCAUCUGCCCGUGAAUAUCAGAGUGAGAACUUGCAGACGUUCGAUGGUAAAACGUGAGUGCCGUGAGGCACUGCCCUGUGUGUGAGUGCCUCUGGUAGCGCAGACUGAAGUGCAGCGGAAUUGCCAACCUCCUGACUUCUCUGCCAGGAAUGUAAAUCAACAUUAAAGAUGAUUUUUAAGAGAAAUAGCAAGUUAAACAUUUGUACAAACACAUCAUCAAAUAGAGGUUGCACCGCCUCUCUCUAAACCUCUUGCCUGCUGGCAAAAAUAAAACUGUUCCAGUGACAUUUUCCCUGCUCUGCUGUGACAAGGGCUGCAUAAAUAUAGACACCGUGGAUUAGAAUAGACUUCAGCAAUCUCCAUCUUCCUUUCUAGCAGCCGCUUCUGCAGUUCCCCAUAGCUAUGGGUGAAAAACAGGGAGCCUAAGGGCAAAUCCUCUGCUACUAUCAGGAGCUGAAGAGGUUGCUGCUCUUUGCCAAGAAAGUAUAGUCAGGUUGCUGUCACACAUAGGACAGGCAAGGACUGAUAUCCAGGGCCAGCAGGAGUGAUGCUUCUCUUGUGUGCGUGGCACUUCAAGUAAGUCAUGACAGGAAAACGUCAGAGCAGAGGAGAGAGGGGCAGCAGGCUGAAUGUUUGCAAAGUAAAUGUCCUAUAUUGGUACUGUAUUUUUAUAUGAGUUACCGUCAACUAAUGCACGUAAAAACCAAAUGCUGGAAACGAGAACAACACUGUAGAGCCUGGGAAAAGCUCCACCAGUCCUUCCUGGUUACCCACAAAAAACAGGCAAACAGCUAACUAAGCCAAAAAAUGCGUACAGCUCGGCGAGCAUAGUUGUAAAACAGCCAAGCUAUUUUCUCCUCCUCCUUGCUUUCUUUUCCUCAGCUAGUUACAACCUAGCAGGCAUCUUGCUGUCCGUGCUGCUGAACAAACACAGGCAAAUCACUCAUCCCAGACAACAAAUGGAUUUUUACAUUCUUUCUGCAUAUGUGAAUCCAUUAUCCUAAGAAGGCCCAGAAGAAAGUGGGCAUUAGCUUAAUGCAGCUCUGAAAGAGGAACUGUCCGGGUCAGGAGAGCAGGAAUGGUGGAAAGAGCUGUCUGAUUGCUAAAUCACUUUAAGCCAGCAACCAAAUCCAUUUCAGCUGCUGACCUGUUUAUGGCUGGUUUGAAGUGAGCUGGCAAUGGCUUUUAGCCCAGUUCUUAGAGGUGUCCAUGUCACAGUAUCACAGUAUUUGCUGGCAAACUUGCAAACUGAAAAGCAAAAAAAACAAUGGGCUUGCAUGUUUCCCUUCUCUCCCUGAGAGCUCAGUCCCCCCAAGUCAGAUAUGGGGCACUGGUACGUGGUAGGUCAGGGCAUGGCUCCGUGUUCAGAGCUGUACCUGUUCCCUGCUUGUUCUCAUCAGUGCACUGGUGAAUCUGUUCCUGGAGCUCCUUUCUCCAGCACUGACGUCAUUCACAUGUGAAGGGGGAAGAACAAAGACGGCGCUCGCCUGUUUUCUUGUGUGAUUUUUCAAUACCCGUUUCCCAAUCCCGACCUCCAGAGCAACAACAUCCUUUCAAACCGCCCCCUCUUGAAAUGCCACAGUAGCCAAACAGCUGCAAAUCAAAACACCUUGUAAACAAGUGACUGAAAUCCCGUGGGAUGCCCGAGGGCUUGGGCACGUCUCAGAGUGAUUAUAGUUCCUGCUAUACAAAUUAGAGUCCAUGUCGCACAGUUCGUGCCAACUCCAAGCUCUUGCUUUUUAUUUUUAGACCUAUUUGUUGAAAGGUUGUCAUGAUAUAAAGAAUGACGUUUGGUAUCAGUGAUACACAGAUAAAAUUAGAUGGUAGCCGGAAGUGAUCAUACGGCUAAUCCUCCCUCCUGUGACUUUUACCACGGAAUUUGGGAUCCUAUGGGCCUCAAAAACAGCUUUUCUCUGAGUGCAUUUCACUUCUCAGCAGGCAGCUGAAAAAUUGGUCUCACACGGGUUAUGUGUGGAAAGCAGAACAAUAUGCCAAGACAAGAUGAAACAGAUGUUUCAGGUCUCCAUUACAAUUCAGACAGAAAUUUAAAUCAGCUGAAAACAUCAGAACAAAACGCUUUGAAUGUGUGCAGAGAUCACCAUCUCUUGGUAAAGCAAGUCAUCUGGAGCUCUGGGAACCUGGCGUCCCACAGACUGGAUUCCAAACUUGCUGGAGAUAUUUGUGUAAAUAGGAUUGUUGACACAGAGAAUAUCACGAUGUAUCUCUAAGUUGUGCUGUAUUUGCAUUCGUCCUUGUAUUCCAAUGAAAGGUUUAUCUUUCUGAAUUAGACUUUCUUAGAGCCAGUUCCAAAAUUAGAUGUAGAGAAGGACCAAUAACUUCAGCAAAAAAGAUGAAGGGUCACCUCUUCCCUACCCUUACAGGCAGGACAUGACAGAUGCCAGUUGGAACAAUUUUCUACUAAAAAAAAUGAGCUUUGAGAGAACAAAUAUUUUCAUAGAAAGAGUUUGCUUUCCUCCAAAUAUGACUCCCUUUCAUAAACCCCAAAGAUUUAAAAGCAAAAGAGAUUUGAUUGUUGGCAGUUUGGGGAUUCUUCCCCUCCCUUUCCCCCAGCAUUUUCCAAUGGAAAAUAUUCAGGGUUUGGGUUUUUAGCCCUUUGCUAAAAUGUCAACAUUUUCCAAAGGCUGAAGGAGGGAAAAAGAGAAGAAAAGAAAAACAUGUUCUGACCAGCUCCAGUCAGAGCCAAAUGGCUCAAUUCUGGGUAUGGUCAGGGAAGUAUGCUGGAGGGGAGAAAAUGGGAGCGCCUUGGUUCCAAGCGCAGUCUGGGCUGAGGACUGUGUAUCACAAUCCAUUUGUAUGAGUCACUCCAGUCGACAUUUCACCAGGGGAGCAUGUGUAGUGGCUUUUAAGCACUUCAGGUCAAUAUGUUACUUGCAAACACUGCCUCACUGCUUACUACAGUCACUCUGGCUCUCUGUGUGCAUGUGGGAUGUGCACAGGUACACCGUGUUCAAGUCCUCCAAUAUUUCCAUGACGUCUUUAACUCACAGAGGUAACAAUAAUACCUGGCACCUAUCCAGACCUGUGAAUUCAGCUCUCCCCCGUAGGUAAAGAGGAGAAAGCAGUAGAACUAAGCCUACAAAAGCCUUGGACAGCUAUGGAUCUGGGAGAAGCACUGGUAGAACAAAGUUGACAUAAAGGCAACUAAACUACUCAUGCAUAUGCAUGCACCAUCCUGCUUUUAGUGGAAAAGAAAUGGCUUCAUUUCUCCAAUGUGCUGCUGGUCCCCAGCUGCUUCCUCAGUCUCCAGAAAGCUGUCCCAGCAUUUGGGCACCUUCAAAUCUGAUGAAGAGAAGGACUACCUUUGCUUCCGCCUCUCCAAGGCGUCUCCCAGAGCUGCAAUGAGAGAGUUCUUGUAUGGAAGACCCAGACUAGGUCUUUGUCCCCCUCUAGUGACUUGACUGCAAAAGAAGUUUUCUGAGUACUACGUCCGAGCAAGACAGUCAUUACUUUAGGCCAGGAUGUUGAAUGGUUUCCUUUUCAAAGGCUAGUAGGAUAUCUAAGCAUCAUGGGAAGGUCAUAUAUUUAUACACACUGAAACAUUAUCCAUUAACAACAUAAACAGUAAUUAGGAACUUGACUUUCUGCUCUAAUAAGCUGUGUGUGCCUGCUUGCCUCUCAUGGAGGAUGGCAGUCACAGACUUCACAUGACAUCCAUCCAUCCAUAAUCCUCCAGGAGACCUCACUAGGUUCACUGUCAGCAGAGAAAGAGCACACAGAGGGACUCCUGUAACCAAACACUUGCUGAGUCACAGCUCAGUCACCCCUGUGCUUAGCAAGGCAUGCCAGCCAUCUGUCACCAGCACAUCCUCCUCAUUGCUCUGUGACUCUGCGGGGAAAACAACAGGAGGCAGAUUACAUUGACUGAGAAGCCAGGCUCUCGUGCAUCUUGACUCUGAGUAAUUCCUGCCUUGCCUUCUAACCAGUGCUAAAGCCUUUGGCUCAUCUUCGUUUGGCCCUUUGUAGGGGAAGAUAGUGGCAUUCAGGUUCGAACAUUGAGCGCUUCGGCUGACUAAUGAGUGACUCCAAACAAAGCCUGCUCUGGCAAGACAUUUGAUGGUGUUGUGCAAAGUGUCCCUACUACAGACGAGUCAUCUACAUUGGCCUCCUCACCAGUACUCUAAGUAAACCAGAGUGUUCAAAAAAAAAGCAGCAAAAUAAAGGGAACCCUGUUUCCUACAGACUUGUGUCCCAACUAUGCCCAGUAAACAACAUGUGAGCAGAGAUCCUAUUCUGUCUCCUGUCCUAAGUGACCUCCCUCCUGUGUUCCCCCUCCAUUUAGUUGUGACCUAGAGAUCUGCAGUCCUGGAGGGCGCUUGUGGGGACACAGCCCCAAGAGAAGGGCAAGUUUCUUACCACGUUCCUGCAAACCAAUCAGAUGCAGUGCUGCCCAGAUACGUCAGCCAACCUGGGCUUGUGCAAGAAGCUUGCUGGGGGUGUGUGUUUGCAUACCAUGUACUCAUGCAAGAUUUCACAAACUCUGUGCUGCUUACAGCCAGCCUUCACCACUGAGGUUCCUUGCCCUCCUCUCUUGCAUGUUUGAAAGGUUGUUUUCCCUAUUAGCUCCCCUCAAGGAUAAGGCACCCACACCAGCAAUCUGACUGCCCUACUUCAUUCUAAAGUGAUGAAAGAGUGUGGAGUGGAUGGAGCCUUUUUUACUCCGGAGGAAAAGAGUGAACUCAAUGCCAGGCACGGAU